UACGGGAGGGUCCAAGCGUUAUCCGGAUUUAUUGGGUUUAAAGGGUGCGUAGGCGGUUUGAUAAGUUAGAGGUGAAAGCCCGUAGCCCAACUACGGAACUGCCUCUGAUACUGUCAGGCUAGAGAAUGGUUGCUGUGGGCGGAAUGUGUGGUGUAGCGGUGAAAUGCUUAGAGAUCACACAGAACACCGAUUGCGAAGGCAGCUCACAAAGCCAUAUCUGACGCUGAGGCACGAAAGCGUGGGGAGCAAACAGGAUUAGAUA
rnacentral:rRNA from 1 species